rnacentral:rRNA from 1 species
GAUGAACGCUGGCGGCGUGCCUAAUACAUGCAAGUCGAGCGAACAGACGAGGAGCUUGCUCCUCUGACGUUAGCGGCGGACGGGUGAGUAACACGUGGAUAACCUACCUAUAAGACUGGGAUAACUUCGGGAAACCGGAGCUAAUACCGGAUAAUAUAUUGAACCGCAUGGUUCAAUAGUGAAAGACGGUUUUGCUGUCACUUAUAGAUGGAUCCGCGCCGCAUUAGCUAGUUGGUAAGGUAACGGCUUACCAAGGCAACGAUGCGUAGCCGACCUGAGAGGGUGAUCGGCCACACUGGAACUGAGACACGGUCACGACUCCUACGGGAGGCAGCAGUAGGGAAUCUUCCGCAAUGGGCGAAAGCCUGACGGAGCAACGCCGCGUGAGUGAUGAAGGUCUUCGGAUCGUAAAACUCUGUUAUUAGGGAAGAACAAAUGUGUAAGUAACUAUGCACGUAUUGACGGUACCUAAUCAGAAAGCCACGGCUAACUACGUG